AUUUUCCAUAACAGAACAUGUAAUUUCACUACAAACAAGUUGCAAUGAAAAUGUUAGAAAUAGAAAUAUUUUAUUCCGUGCUCUUUUGCAGAUUUUCUUUUCUGAUGUAAUUGAAAAGCACUCAUGAUACAGAAUUUGGUCUGCAUAUCUGCAAGAAGAAUUUUUAAAUCAGCUGGCUUUCUGGGGGAAUGAUUCAUUGUGUGCCCAGAUUCCCUCUGUUUCUCAAUUAAGAAGCUAUGAAUUGAAAACUGGCAUCGACUUUUCACAAUACUGCAAGGUCUAGAUCCCCUUGUGUUUUCAUCCCUCCUGCAACUGAACACUUCAACCUUCAAAAAUUUGUUUUGGCUUUUGAGAUACCUUAGGAGGAAUGCUGCUGAAAUUGGAUUGAGCAACCUGGUCUGAAAUAAAUUUGGCUCCUCACUCUGAAUGGCAGGUUGCGCCAGAGGAUAUCCUGAAAUCCCUUCCAACCUGAAUUAUUCUACCAUUCUGUAUUAUACUGAUGAGAGACCAGAACAGGGCCCAGCUAACCAAGGAUGUAUUUGAAAUUUCAGGUGUACUGGAAAUGUAAACAGCUGACACAAUACAAGAAGUAAAAUUGUACCUUCUAGCAAUAACUGACUUGAAUAAAGUCUCCUACUUUUCUAAGAAAACAAAAGAGAUACAGAUGGAAGUGAAUUAGGAAGAAAAAAAAUCUACUGUUGUGAUGCUUUAAUCUAUUUUAAUAUGUGAGCCUGAAAUUCCUCCUAAAACAAAGUCCCUGAACUUUUAUUAUUAAAAGUAAUAAAAAUUCAAGGACUUUGUUUUAGGAGGAAAUAGAUGCUAGCAGGUAUUUUCUAAGGGUUGAGAUGACACUGGCCUGAAGAAUGACAGCAGGACAGUCAGCUCUGGAGUGUUGCAUCAGUGAUUCUACACACGCCAGCCUAAGCCAGAGCUGCUGAAAUGUGUUCUCAUGACUGGGAAUCCAGCUGCUCUCUCUAGGAUGCAGAUAAAAUACAUACCUGAAGGACAGCAUCCUGUGACAGUGGCCCACAUUCCAGCUGUUUGUGGGGAACUGCUGCCUGUAGGAUGGACUCACAUUGGAGAAGUUCAUGGAGAACUGACUCCCAUGGGAGGAACCCCACAGUGCAGUAGAGGAAGGACUCCUCUUCCUGAGCAGUGGCAGAAACAGCGUGUGAUGAACUGACCAUAACUCCCCAUGCCCUGCCUCCCUGCAUCUCUGAGGGGGAGGAGGUAGAAGGGGGAAGGAGGAAGAGGUAGGGGGAAGAUAUUUUUAAGAUUUAUUUUGCUCCUCAUUAUCCUGCUCUGAUUUUGUUAGUA
rnacentral:lncRNA from 1 species